rnacentral:rRNA from 1 species
UACAGAGGUCUCAAGCGUUGUUCGGAUUCAUUGGGCGUAAAGGGUGCGUAGGUGGCGCUGUAAGUCGGGUGUGAAAUUUCGGAGCUUAACUCCGAAACUGCAUUCGACUACUGUGGUGCUUGAGGACUGGAGAGGAGACUGGAAUUCAUGGUGUAGCAGUGAAAUGCGUAGAGAUCAUGAGGAAGACCAGUGGCGGAAGGCGGGUCUCUGGACAGUUCCUGACACUGAGGCACGGAAGGCCAGGGGAGCAAACGGG